GACGAACCGAGCGAACGUUGUUCGGAAUCACUGGGCUUAAAGGGCGCGUAGGCGGGUGCUCAAGUCCGUGGUGAAAUCCUCCGGCUCAACCGGAGAACUGCCUCGGAUACUGGGCGUCUCGAGUGUGGUAGGGGUAUGCGGAACUAUCGGUGGAGCGGUGAAAUGCGUUGAUAUCGAUAGGAACUCCGGUGGCGAAGGCGGCAUCCUGGACCAAUUCUGACGCUGAGGAGCGAAAGCCAGGGGAGCAAACGGG
rnacentral:rRNA from 1 species